rnacentral:lncRNA from 10 species
CCUGCACAAGCUCUCUUUCUUUGCCUGCUGCCAUCCAUGUAAGACAUGACUUGCUUUUCCUUUCUUUCCACCAUGAUUGUGAGGCCUCCCAAGCCACGUGGAACUAUCAUAAUGCCUGGUUAUGGCAAAAAGACCGCAAUUCCCACCAGAGAGCAAAAAGGAAGUAAAGCUACCAUUGUUGAUCUGAAACUAAAUGGAUUCUUGUCCGUUGUGAGGAGCAGCAGCCUACAAAGCACACUGAAUGCCAAAUGUGUUGCACCAGGGCUACAGGGAGUCGACUGCUCACAGAAAGCAAGCAUUCUGUUCUAAUUCUGUGCUGUAAGCUUUGCAAUAAGAGGCUCCAUAUGAGAAGGCUGGUGGUUGCCCAGCUGGGCUUAUGACAGAUGUGAUUACAUCAACUCCCAAGGAUGAGAGAAUUUGCUACAGAUCAACAAGCAUUUUCAAACAAUAAAAAUUGUAUAGUAUGUAUCUCACCAAUUUUAAGGUGAUGAGUGAGCCUGGCAAAUUCCAAUUUUCAUUAUGAGAAAGACUAAAUAGAAUGUAUUAUUUUUGUAUGCAUGCUUUCAUAUCUAAAGAUUUAGGGUUUUACAUAACAUUGUAUGUUUUUUUCCAUUUUCAGACACACCCAGAUGUUUUUAAUCUAUGCAAAAUAAUGAUGGAUACUUGCUACCUUCUUCAACUAAUUUUCAAGAUGUAUUUAUAUAAAAUAAAAGAGUCUUUUAAAGCACAACUUUUUUCAAAUGUAUUUGUUACUGCACCUUUUGCCCUGGAAAAUUAUUUUUCUAUUUUUAUUUUUAUUUUUUGAGACAGGGUCUCACUCUGUCACCCAGGUUGGAGUGCAGUGGUGUGAUCACAGAUCACUGCAGCCUCGACCCCCACAGGCUCAAGUGAUCCUCCCACCUCAGGCCCCUGAGUAGCUGGGACUACAGGCAUGCACCACUAUACCAGCUGAUUUUUAAAACUUUUUGUAGAGACAGAAUCUCACUACAUUGCCCAAGCUAGUCUCAAACUUCUGGUCUCGAGCCACCCUCCCACCUCAGCCUCCCAAUGUGCUGGGAUUACAGGCAUACGCCACCACACCCAGCCUUAUUAUUUUGCUCUUUAGAGAUAAGAUAUCCAAACUUCAAAAAUAUUGUUAAUUUGGUACAAGUUAAAUCUCAGAAAUUUUGGAAACAAUCGCCUUCUGUAAUAUAUGUAAAAUAUUAUACACAGUGUCUGGCAUACAGUUAGUGCUAAAUAAAAGUUUUUC